UUUUUUUGUUUUUUUUUUACUUUUCAGAUUUGCUAGAACGAAAACUGAAAGAGUCUCUCCUUUUUUUUAAACCCCUUUCUUUCAAACACCCAACUCUUGGGUUUCUUAACACCUGGAGCGCCACCGCCACAGCCACAAAGAUCGACGGCCGACGAUGAAGGAGAGACCCCCCGGCAGCACGGUCACGGCCAACUCCUGUGAGUUUCUCUUCCCCUUAUUUUUUUUGCUUUUGAUUUUAUAGUUAUUUAAAAUAGAUUUGCAAAAGAAAGGAAAAAAAAAGAAUAAAACAAACAAAUAAAUAAAAAGAAAAAAAGAAAAAACGAAGAGUAAAUAACAAGGAUUUAACCCUUUAAAAUUUCUAUUCAACUUUUGAUUUCUGAUGUGGGUUUUUUUACAAAGAAAAUCCAAGAAGCUCUAAAAAUGGCUCUUCUUGUUUUUUAUAGGCCAUUACAAACUGUUAUUAUUAUUAUUGAUUGCUCUUUAUUUCUUUGCCUUCAUUUCUCUCUGCAGGUGGUCUGACACGCGUGGAGGGCCAACGACGGCAGUGUCAGAGGCAUGCGCUGAAGGUGCCUGGUGGCUGGGGGUGGCAGACGAGGAGGCCACCCGAGGCAUGCGGCUCCUAGGGUUUCUUUUACUCAUUUCUGCUGAAAAUGUUAAUGUUGUUUGGGCUAGGUUUUUAAUUUUUGGGCCCAUUUGUGAUUGGGUUAUUAUUUUUACUAGGCCAGCAAAUUUGGGCUUCGCGUUUAUUUUUCCAUUUAAAGAUGAGAUGUUAUGGGUAAUUUUAGACAUUGUAUUAAAAAUAUUAAAGGUUGUCAUUAAAAUAAUUUUUUUAAUUUUUUAUGUAUGUUUUUAAGGGUUUAGAGUUAUGGGAACCAAAAAGGAAUUGUAGAUUCAACGUUCGAUCUUUAAAUGUGA
rnacentral:lncRNA from 1 species